rnacentral:rRNA from 1 species
UGGAAAGUGGCGGACGGGUGAGUAAUGUGUAGAGAAUCUGCCCUUAAGCGGGGGACAACAGUUGGAAACGACUGCUAAUACCCCAUAUGAGCGUAGCUGAAAUGCUAUUCUUGAAAACUCCGGUGCUUAAGGAUGAGUCUGCAUCUGAUUAGCUAGUUGGGGGUGUAAUGGACCACCAAGGCGACGAUCAGUAGCUGGUUUGAGAGGAUGAUCAGCCACAAUGGGACUGAGACACGGCCCAUACUCCUACGGGAGGCAGCAGUAGGGAAUUUUGCGCAAUGGGGGAAACCCUGACGCAGCAACGCCGCGUGACUGAAGAAGCCCUUCGGGGUGUAAAGGUCUGUCAGUGGGGACGAAAUCUGACGGUACCCACAGAGGAAGCAUCGGCUAACUCCGUGCCAGCAGCCGCGGUAAUACGGGGGAUGCAAGCGUUGUCCGGAAUCAUUGGGCGUAAAGAGUUCGUAGGUGGUUUGUUAAGUUAGGUGUUAAAUGCAGAGGCUCAACUUCUGAUCGGCACUUGAUACUGACAGACUUGAAUGCGGCAGAGGUAAAGGGAAUUCCUGAUGUAGCGGUGAAAUGCGUAGAUAUAUGGAGGAACACCAGUGGCGAAGGCGGCUUACUAGCUCGAUACUGACGCUCAGUCACGAAAGCGUGGGGAGCAAAUAGGAUUAGAUACCCUAGUAGUCCACGCCGUAAACUAUGACAACUAAGUAUUGCUGUGAGGCAGUGCUGAAGCUAACGCAUUAAGUUGUCCGCCUGGGGAGUACGGUCGCAAGACUGAAACUUAAAGGAAUUGACGGGGACCCGCACAAGCAGUGGAGCAUGUGGUUUAAUUCGAUGCUACGCGAAGAACCUUACCAGGACUUGACAUGGAUUCAAAUGUUCUAGAGAUAGAAAGAUAGUUAUGGAUCACACAGGUGGUGCAUGGUUGUCGUCAGCUCGUGUCGUGAGAUGUUGGGUUAAGUCCCGCAACGAGCGCAACCCUUGUCUUUAGUUACCAUCUUUAAGUUGGGGACUCUAAAGAGACUGCCGAUGUAAAUCGGAGGAAGGUGGGGAUGACGUCAAAUCAUCAUGCCCUUUAUGUCCUGGGCGACACACGUGCUACAAUGGCCGGUACAAAGAGACGCGAAACCGCGAGGCGGAGCAAAUCUCACAAAGCCGGUCUCAGUUCAGAUUGAAGUCUGCAACUCGACUUCAUGAAGUCGGAAUUGCUAGUAAUCGCAGAUCAGCCAUGCUGCGGUGAAUACGUUCCCGGGUCUUGUACACACCGCCCGUCA